rnacentral:rRNA from 1 species
UACGUAGGGGGCAAGCGUUGUCCGGAUUUAUUGGGCGUAAAGAGCGUGUAGGCGGCCUGACAGGUCUGCUGUGAAAACUCGAGGCUCAACCUCGAGAUGUCGGCGGAAACCGUCUGGCUAGAGUCCGGAAGAGGAGAGUGGAAUUCCUGGUGUAGCGGUGAAAUGCGCAGAUAUCUGGAGGAACCACCGGUGGCGGAAGGCGGGUCCUGCUGGGCGAUGGUC